rnacentral:rRNA from 1 species
UACUUGUACCGACUGGAUGAGCAGCGAACGGGUGAGUAACGCGUGGGGAAUCUGCCUUUGAGCGGGGGACAACAUUUGGAAACGAAUGCUAAUACCGCAUAAAAACUUUAAACACAAGUUUUAAGUUUGAAAGAUGCAAUUGCAUCACUCAAAGAUGAUCCCGCGUUGUAUUAGCUAGUUGGUGAGGUAAAGGCUCACCAAGGCGAUGAUACAUAGCCGACCUGAGAGGGUGAUCGGCCACAUUGGGACUGAGACACGGCCCAAACUCCUACGGGAGGCAGCAGUAGGGAAUCUUCGGCAAUGGACGAAAGUCUGACCGAGCAACGCCGCGUGAGUGAAGAAGGUUUUCGGAUCGUAAAACUCUGUUGGUAGAGAAGAACGUUGGUGAGAGUGGAAAGCUCAUCAAGUGACGGUAACUACCCAGAAAGGGACGGCUAACUACGUGCCAGCAGCCGCGGUAAUACGUAGGUCCCGAGCGUUGUCCGGAUUUAUUGGGCGUAAAGCGAGCGCAGGUGGUUUAUUAAGUCUGGUGUAAAAGGCAGUGGCUCAACCAUUGUAUGCAUUGGAAACUGGUAGACUUGAGUGCAGGAGAGGAGAGUGGAAUUCCAUGGGUAAGCGGUGUGUGAAAAC